CUCCAGCAACCACAUCUGAACAGGGAAGGAAAGAUCCUGGGCUGAGAACAGUUAAGAGCCACUGGAGGGGUGUCUUGAGUUGGACUGAAGUUGUUCUCAUUGUCUGUUUCUCUGGCAAUUCCACUAAACUGUGAACUCUGAAGGUUUGGGCUCUUUUUGUUUGUUUCUUUGUAUUUUCAGCAUGUGUGGUACAUACACGCAUUGUUCAGUAGACAUGUGUUGAAUCCAUCAAUGAAUCAGUCCACUGAUGCGUUCAGAGGAACGAGUGCUGUGGAGUAUGGAGAGCUGGAACAGAUACGGGGUGCAUUGGACUUGGGACCAUAGUCAGAAAGUUAUCACCCAGCAUAAAACCAGUGGAAACUUCCAGAAGAAAAGACAAGCUGACUGAAAGAGACUAACCCAGGAGUAAGCAUGGAAACCAGCCUUGUAAUACUUUAGUGAGACUGAUGGAGAAGAAUAAGUGCCGUGGGAACACCAAAGUGGGCCAUUCCAAAGAGGCAACUAGACUGAGCUGAACAAUGAUGGAAAGGACUAUUAAAUGCAAAACAGAAGGGAGAGGAAAGAGCAACCAGCUCAAAGGUGGAGGAGCACCCUGACUCCUGACCAGAGAAUUACUGUCAAAGUAAGAUAAAAAAUAAACUAUGAAAACUAACAUA